rnacentral:rRNA from 1 species
GACGGAGGGUGCAAGCGUUGUUCGGAUUGACUGGGCGUAAAGGGCGUGUAGGCGGUCUGUCGCGUCUGCUGUGAAAACUCAGGGCUUAACCCUGAGCUUGCAGUGGGUACGGGCAGACUAGAGUGCGGUAGGGGAGACUGGAAUUCCUGGUGUAGCGGUGAAAUGCGCAGAUAUCAGGAGGGAACACCGGUUGGCGAAGGCGGGUCUCUGGGCCGUAACUGACGC